UACGGAGGGGGCUAGCGUUGUUCGGAAUUACUGGGCGUAAAGCGCGCGUAGGCGGACCUGCAAGUCGGGGGUGAAAGCCCGAGGCUCAACCUCGGAACUGCCUUCGAUACUGCGGGUCUCGAGUCCGGGAGAGGUGAGUGGAAUUCCUAGUGUAGCGGUGAAAUGCGCAGAUAUCAGGAGGAACACCUAUUGCGAAGGCAGCUCGCUGGGACGUUACUGACGCUGAGACGCGAAAGCGUGGGGAGCAAACAGG
rnacentral:rRNA from 1 species